UACAGAGGUCCCAAGCGUUGUUCGGAUUCAUUGGGCGUAAAGGGUGCGUAGGUGGCGUCGUAAGUCGGGUGUGAAAUCUCGGGGCUUAACUCCGAAACUGCAUUCGAUACUGCGGUGCUUGAGGACUGGAGAGGAGACUGGAAUUUACGGUGUAGCAGUGAAAUGCGUAGAUAUCGUAAGGAAGACCAGUGGCGAAGGCGGGUCUCUGGACAGUUCCUGACGCUGAGGCACGAAGGCCAGGGGAGCAAACGGG
rnacentral:rRNA from 1 species